GAGGGAAUAGCUCAGUGGUAGAGCGCGUGCUUAGCACGCACGAGGUCCUGGGUUCAAUCCCCGGUACCUCCG
rnacentral:tRNA from 1 species